rnacentral:rRNA from 1 species
UACGUAGGGGGCAAGCGUUGUCCGGAUUUAUUGGGCGUAAAGAGCGUGUAGGCGGCUUUACAGGUCCGUUGUGAAAACUCGAGGCUCAACCUCGAGACGCCGGUGGAAACCGUAAGGCUAGAGUCCGGAAGAGGAGAGUGGAAUUCCUGGUGUAGCGGUGAAAUGCGUAGAUAUCUGGAGGAACACCGGUGGCGAAGGCGGCAUCCUGGACCAAUUCUGACGCUGAGGAGCGAAAGCCAGGGGAGCAAACGGG